CUAAUUUUUCUUCAGAAAGUGAGAUAAAAAGUAUGUAUCAGACAAAAUGAAUGAAGAUAUCCUAGAAAAGGAACCAAAAUUCAAAGAGCUAAGGAGACUAACCAGCAUGGGCUACAUCAAAAAGACUGCUAUCCACUUUCUGCUGGAUAGGGGCACCAGAGAGACUUGUCACAAACUAGAAGCGUGAUGGAGACUGUUAGAACAAUGAUCUUCAGGGGAUACAGCUUAAACAGAAAAAACUAUCUAAAGGGCAGAGUUAAACAUCAGUUUAUAAGACAAACACCUUUAUGAGAAUCAUGCAGGGUUUUCGUUGAGGUAAGGAAUUAUUGAGGAAAAAAAUAAAAGAUUAUGGGGAAAGUAUGAAAAUGUAUUUGAAGCAAAAAGUUAAUUUUGGUAUGGAAAGUGAAUAGUGGGUAACCGUGUCCAGUUGAUCUUUCUCUGGCUCAGUCACUGUGUUUUUCAGAAGGCAAUAAUAAAAUCUUUCUUUACCACCUCUCUUAGGAUAAGCAGGUUCUUGGAUACUUGAUGAUACAUAAAUCACAUUUCCCUUUUUAUAUUAUCAUCAUCUCUAGGAAUAGAAAGUAAUGAAUUGCAGGAGUGGUCAUGAUCUUAUAAAUAUAUUAAGAUAUUACUAGGUUAUAAACAAUAGAAUUGGGACAAUUUAUAAUGUGACUUUGAAAGAUUAGACUUUAAGAAUAAAAAAAAAAGACAUAGAGGUGCAAAUUGAGCAAACAAAGUAGUCAGCAGAAGGUUAGAAGGAAAAGCAAGAUCGAAGACUAGGGAGAGGUAGAGGAUAUUGAUGUGUUGUAGGGCAGAUAAGCUGGCCUGAUGAAGAUAGGUCCAACAUAGGUGCUUGAAAGGAAGGGCUAAAAUGAGAGAGGGGGAGGGGAGAGUACAGAGGGUACCAAUCUAGGUUCACAGUGAGAGCAUUGUUUUGGGAUGGCGAGUAGACUGGCUGAAUAUAAAAAGAGUCAAUCCAAUUAUAACGAACAGGUAAAUGUGUAGUCCAGAAUCCAGAGCCAUGUUCCAAACCCAGAUGGUAGCCUCCUGCUUAUCCCCUCCAAAACCAUAGCAAGGUAAUAAUGUUGUUUACACAGUGGACACUUAAGUUUGUAUUGGAUUCAAUAAAAAAGAAUCACAGUGCACUGUUUUUUUUGUUUUGUUUUGUUUUGUUUUUGUUUUUUUUUUUUUAGACAGAGUCUUACUCUAUCGC
rnacentral:lncRNA from 1 species